UACGUAGGAGGCGAGCGUUGUCCGGAUUUACUGGGCGUAAAGCGCGCGCAGGCGGCACACUAAGUACGAUGUGAAAUCUCCCUGCUCAACGGGGAGGGUGCAUAGUAAACUGGUGAGCUAGAGGACGGUAGAGGGGGGUGGAAUGCUGGUGUAGCGGUGAAAUGCGUAGAGAUCAGCAGGAACACCCGUGGCGAAGGCAGGUCUCUGGGCCGAUACUGACGCUGAGGAGCGAAAGCGUGGGGAGCGAACAGG
rnacentral:rRNA from 1 species